GCUCUUUUGCUCAAAAUUCAAAAUUUUCAAUAUUUUUUUUUUCAAAUUCAAAAUUAUAAUUCACAUUUUUCCCCACCCAAUUUUAUCUAAUUCACAUUUUUCCCCACCCAAUUUUAUCUAUAAAUACCCCCUUCUUCCACCUUCAAACUCACCCCAUUGUAUUAACAAUUCUACACUCUCUUCUCUUCUACUUCUAAUUCUCCUCCAUUCUUUGCUAUUGCUCUUGCUCUAUAAUUCUUUAGCUAUUCUCUUGCUUAAUUGCUUUACUUUAUUGUUCUUGUUUUACAUUAUAUUACUACUAGUACUACUACUAAGUACUAAAU
rnacentral:lncRNA from 1 species